rnacentral:rRNA from 1 species
AGUGAACGCUGGCGGUAGGCCUAACACAUGCAAGUCGAACGGCAGCACAGUAAGAGCUUGCUCUUACGGGUGGCGAGUGGCGGACGGGUGAGGAAUACAUCGGAAUCUACUUUUUCGUGGGGGAUAACGUAGGGAAACUUACGCUAAUACCGCAUACGACCUACGGGUGAAAGCAGGGGAUCUUCGGACCUUGCGCGAUUGAAUGAGCCGAUGUCGGAUUAGCUCGUUGGCGGGGUAAAGGCCCACCAAGGCGACGAUCCGUAGCUGGUCUGAGAGGAUGAUCAGACACACGGGAACUGAGACACGGUCCAGACUCCUACGGGAGGCAGCAGUGGGGAAUAUUGGACAAGGGGCGCAAGCCUGAUCCAGCCAUACCGCGUGGGGGAAGAAGGCCUUCGGGUUGUAGAGCCCUUUUGUUGGGAAAGAAAAACAGCAGGUUAAUACCCCGCUGUUCUGACGGUACCCAAAGAAUAAGCACCGGCUAACUCCGUG